AUCGUUUUUGGGUCUUUUGUUCCAUUAGCUCUAGUUCUCUUCUUUCUUCUCCCUCGAUUCAUAUGCCUUCCAUUCUCUAGUUGAUUGCAGGAAGAAAAAGAUGGAAGAACUUCAUCAAGAUUUGUCAAGUUGAUGUUUUUACGCAUGGCUGCACUACAAACCUAAAGGCCGACACAACAAAGUCCAACACUAACCAACCACAACAUCAUAAAAGAUAAACAAAAAAUUCAGUUACAAGAUUGUGUAUUUUCUUAAUUUCGAUGUUUAGCCUAUCAUCAGUUCCGAUUGCA
rnacentral:misc_RNA from 1 species